AACGAACGCUGGCGGCAUGCCUAACACAUGCAAGUCGAACGAGACCUUCGGGUCUAGUGGCGCACGGGUGUGUAACGCGUGGGAACCUGCCCUUAGGUUCGGAAUAACUCCCCGAAAGGGGUGCUAAUACCGGAUAAUGUCUUCGGACCAAAGAUUUAUCGCCUUUGGAUGGGCCCUCGUUGGAUUAGCUAGUUGGUAGGGUAAAAGCCUACCAAGGCGACGAUCCAUAGCUGGUCUGAGAGAAUGGUCAGCCACACCGGGACUGAGACACGGCCCAGACUCCUACGGAAGGCAGCAAUGGGGAAUAUUGGACAAUGGGCGAAAGCCUGAUCCAGCAAGGCCGCGUAAGUGAUGAAGGCCUUAGGGUUGUAAAGCUCUUUUACCCGUGAUGAUAAUGACAGUACCGGGAGAAUAAGCUCCGGCUAACUACGUG
rnacentral:rRNA from 1 species